rnacentral:misc_RNA from 1 species
GCAAACUUGGUCAUUUAGAGGAAGUAAAAGUCGUAACAAGGUUUCCGUAGGUGAACCUGCGGAAGGAUCAUUAUAGUAUUCUAUUGCCAGCGCUUAGUUGCGCGGCGAUAAACCUUCUACACACACUGUUUAUAUUUUAUGAACUUUCUGCUUUGGGUGAGAGUGACCGCUCUUGCCCAGAGGAUUUAAACACAGAGAUUUUACUAUCUUUUUUACAACUUAUAGUCAUGAAAAUUUUUACCAAAAUUAAAAUAUUCAAAACUUUCAACAACGGAUCUCUUGGUUCUCGCAUCGAUGAAGAACGCAGC